rnacentral:misc_RNA from 1 species
GGGAGUGAGAGAAUAGUCGACGGCACCAUUUUCAGCCAAGUGCCAACGCCUUCUGUCACCUGCAAAUCUCACCUAUUUUUCUUCAUCAGUCUGCUCUACCAGUAACUCUUCAGUGAAAAUGGACUUAGCAACGGAAGGAUGGCGGAACAAUUUUGCUAAACCAAUGGCGAAAAGGGCUCAGCCGUACAGCCCCAGAGAUUUGUUUUCCAAGGGGAUAAAAAAG